CUUUAUGGCGACUGUGCGUGGGGCACAUUCGUGUGCGCCGAGUCCCGGUGAUCGGUCUGUCAACCCGCGUACAGUUGCCACCCAU
rnacentral:antisense_RNA from 1 species